GACGAACGCUGGCGGCGUGCUUAACACACGCGAGUCGAACGGAAAGGCCCUGCUUUUGUGGGGUGCUCGAGUGGCGAACGGGUGAGUAACACGUGAGUAACCUGCCCUUGACUUUGGGAUAGCUUCAGGAAACUGGGGCUAAUACCGGAUAGGAGCUCCUGCUGCAUGGUGGGGGUUGGAAAGUUUCGGCGGUUGGGGAUGGACUCGCGGCUUAUCAGCUUGUUGGUGGGGUAGUGGCUUACCAAGGCUUUGACGGGUAGCCGGCCUGAGAGGGUGACCGGCCACAUUGGGACUGAGAUACGGCCCAGACUCCUACGGGAGGCAGCAGUGGGGAAUAUUGCACAAUGGGCGGAAGCCUGAUGCAGCAACGCCGCGUGCGGGAUGACGGCCUUCGGGUUGUAAACCGCUUUCGCCUGUGACGAAGCGUGAGUGACGGUAAUGGGUAAAGAAGCACCGGCUAACUACGUG
rnacentral:rRNA from 1 species